rnacentral:rRNA from 1 species
AUGAACGCUAGCUACAGGCUUAACACAUGCAAGUCGAGGGGCAGCAUGGUCUUAGCUUGCUAAGGCCGAUGGCGACCGGCGCACGGGUGAGUAACACGUAUCCAACCUGCCGUCUACUCUUGGACAGCCUUCUGAAAGGAAGAUUAAUACAAGAUGGCAUCAUGAGUCCACAUGUUCACAUGAUUAAAGGUAUUCCGGUAGACGAUGGGGAUGCGUUCCAUUAGAUAGUAGGCGGGGUAACGGCCCACCUAGUCUUCGAUGGAUAGGGGUUCUGAGAGGAAGGUCCCCCACAUUGGAACUGAGACACGGUCCAAACUCCUACGGGAGGCAGCAGUGAGGAAUAUUGGUCAAUGGGCGAGAGCCUGAACCAGCCAAGUAGCGUGAAGGAUGACUGCCCUAUGGGUUGUAAACUUCUUUUGUAAAGGAAUAAAGUCGGGUAUGGAUACCCGUUUGCAUGUACUUUAUGAAUAAGGAUCGGCUAACUCCGUGCCAGCAGCCGCGGUAAUACGGAGGAUCCGAGCGUUAUCCGGAUUUAUUGGGUUUAAAGGGAGCGUAGAUGGAUGUUUAAGUCAGUUGUGAAAGUUUGCGGCUCAACCGUAAAAUUGCAGUUGAUACUGGAUAUCUUGAGUGCAGUUGAGGCAGGCGGAAUUCGUGGUGUAGCGGUGAAAUGCUUAGAUGUCACGAAGAACUCCGAUUGCGAAGGCAGCCUGCUAAGCUGCAACUGACAUUGAGGCUCGAAAGUGUGGGUAUCAAACAGGAUUAGAUACCCUGGUAGUCCACACGGUAAACGAUGAAUACUCGCUGUUUGCGAUAUACGGCAAGCGGCCAAGCGAAAGCGUUAAGUAUUCCACCUGGGGAGUACGCCGGCAACGGUGAAACUCAAAGGAAUUGACGGGGGCCCGCACAAGCGGAGGAACAUGUGGUUUAAUUCGAUGAUACGCGAGGAACCUUACCCGGGCUUAAAUUGCAGAUGAAUUACGGUGAAAGCCGUAAGCCGCAAGGCAUCUGUGAAGGUGCUGCAUGGUUGUCGUCAGCUCGUGCCGUGAGGUGUCGGCUUAAGUGCCAUAACGAGCGCAACCCUUAUCGAUAGUUACCAUCAGGUGAUGCUGGGGACUCUGUCGAGACUGCCGUCGUAAGAUGUGAGGAAGGUGGGGAUGACGUCAAAUCAGCACGGCCCUUACGUCCGGGGCUACACACGUGUUACAAUGGGGGGUACAGAGGGCCGCUACCACGCGAGUGGAUGCCAAUCCCAAAAACCUCUCUCAGUUCGGACUGGAGUCUGCAACCCGACUCCACGAAGCUGGAUUCGCUAGUAAUCGCGCAUCAGCCACGGCGCGGUGAAUACGUUCCCGGGCCUUGUACACACCGCCCGUCAAGCCAUGGGAGCCGGGGGUACCUGAAGUGCGUAACCGCAAGGAGCGCCCUAGGGUAAAACUGGUGAUUGGGGCU